rnacentral:rRNA from 1 species
UCCUACGGGAGGCAGCAGUGGGGAAUAUUGGACAAUGGGGGAAACCCUGAUCCAGCAAUACCGCGUGUGUGAAGAAGGCCUGAGGGUUGUAAAGCACUUUUGGCGGGAAAGAAAAGAGGCGCGUUAAUACCGGCGACGUGACGUACC